rnacentral:tRNA from 1 species
AUUUAAGUAGCCUAUGGUUUAGGGCAUGGUGCUGAAGCUACCAAGGAGACUUAUUGUUCUUAAAUA